GGUGAAUUAUUGGCAUUGUUUGUGUAAUUGGGUUAUUAUAAGUAAUUUUAUGGUGUGUUUGAGUAUAGUUUAUAGAAUAAAUAGGAUUAAUGAUAGUAGAGUAGUACUGAGAGGGGAAUUUGAAAUAUAAGGAAGUAUUUAUUUGUUGAGAAGAAGAUUUUUAUUGUACCUUGUGUAUCAGGGUUAGUUAAAGUAGUAAAAGGAUUUUUUAUUUCCCGAAUUGAGAAGAGUUAAAAUGUUAUGUUAGUUAAUGUAGCAUCAUUAUUAAUAAUGAUAUUUUGGUAAUGAUAUGUUAGUCGUUUUUCAAGAUAUCUGGUUUUUCAAGAAGUAAAUUUAAUUUACCCUCUCUAAGUAGUUUGAUUAGUUAUCUUCAUUUUAUUUAGAGAGGGUAAAAUAUAUGGGGAUAAGCUCAUAUAUUUUGAUUAUAGGUUAUGUAAAUUAUUAAAAUGUGUAGGCUUUAAAUUAGCUUUACUUAAAUAUUGUUAUAAAUUAUUUAUGGUUUCUUUUAAAUUUUUAGUAAUGUUAAUUUGUGUAUUGAAAUGUAAAAUUUAAUGGUUUGGUUUUAGUAAUAAUGAUUAAAUUAGUAUAUGAAAUUGUUUUUUUUUCUUGUUGUGAAUUUGUAAUAAGGAACUAGGCAAAUCAAUGCUCGCCUGUUUAUCAAAAACAUCUCCUUUAGAGGGAAUUUGAGGUAGGGCCUGCCCACUGAUUAAUUCAAGGGCCGCGGUAUUAUGACCGUGCAAAGGUAGCGUAAUCAUUAGUCUUUUAAUUGAAGGAUGGAAUGAAUGGUUUGACGAGGCAUUAACUGUCUCAUUAUUAGAUAUGGAAUUUAACAUUUAAGUAAAAAGGCUUAAAUAUAAGUGGAGGACGAGAAGACCCUAUAGAGUUUUAUAUAUUUAUGUUGAUUUAUAUAUGUGGGAGUUUGGUUAUAUUUUAAUAUAGUAUAUUGUGUUGGGGUGACAUAAAGAUAGAAUGAACUCUUUAUUUUAUUUACAUUGAUUUAUGGGUUGAUGAUCCAUUAUUAUUGAUCAUAAGAUUAAGUUACCUUAGGGAUAACAGCGUAAUUUUCUUUAAGAGUUCGUAUCAACAAGGAAGAUUGCGACCUCGAUGUUGGAUUAAGGGAGUUGGUUGGGGGCAGCAUUUCAAUUAACAGGUCUGUUCGACCUUUAAAUCCUUACAUGAUCUGAGUUCAGACCGGCAUAAGCCAGGUCGGCUUCUAUCCUCAUUCAAGUUAUAUAUUUUAGUACGAAAGGACCAAAUAUAUUAAAUAAUUUAUGGGUGUUGAGUAAUAUAA
rnacentral:rRNA from 1 species